rnacentral:sRNA from 2 species
CAAACGCACAUUCCCCGCACCCCUUUGCAAUCGAAUGGUAAUAUUCCCUGUGAGACCAUGUCUCCUUAGACGUGCAGCAAAUCAGAACAAACACAAUUGUUAGCCAGCGGGCUAUUCAGCCUUUUACCAUCUAGGCCCCAAACGACGCUCAACGCACUGGUACAGGUUGGUAAAAUUACCGCACCUUCUAAACCAGCAGAUACGGGACAUCAAUACAUACAUAUUCCCAUCCAGCCCAGGAUGGCAAAGGCCAAAGGGUGAUGUAGGCAGACUUGUCCCAGCACUACCCGAUGCGUGGCGUUCCCUGGACGAGCAGCUGCUCUGCCAACCGAAGCCUUCUGGAAAAGUUUAGCCGCCUAAAUAGAAGAAACGAACGCACUGUACCGGAGGACCAAGAGAGCAU